rnacentral:sRNA from 1 species
UUGACAGCCCCAGAGACUGAAGUCCUCUUAUUUCUUCACAGAGCAGGUACAGCACAGGCACUGGCAGGGUCAAUGUCCCUCCACAUACCCUGGUAGAGUGCCCUCGCCCUGUGUGCUAAAGGGAUGACGCCAUUUUGAGAUGAAAGCAGAAGGAAUGAUUCAGUUAGCGCUUGGCCUCUCUCCCGAGGGAGUCA